rnacentral:rRNA from 1 species
UACGUAUGGUGCAAGCGUUAUCCGGAUUUACUGGGUGUAAAGGGAGCGCAGGCGGCACGGCAAGCCUGAUGUGGAAGCCCGCGGCCCAACCGCGGGACUGCAUUGGGAACUACCGGGCUGGAGUGCCGGAGAGGUAGGCGGAAUUCCUAGUGUAGCGGUGAAAUGCGUAGAUAUUAGGAGGAACACCAGUGGCGAAGGCGGCCUACUGGACGGUGACUGACGCUGAGGCUCGAAAGCGUGGGGAGCAAACAGG